UCUAAUCUAAUUAGAGAUUAAAUCAAGUUAUAAUUCUCACAAUUUUCACUAAACUAUUUAGUGUAUUGACUCAUCUUAUCAAAUUGGAUGCACACAAUUCCUAUUGUGUGUGACCGCAUAGGUCCAUUAUCAUUCGGCAGUGGAAUUCAAUAUUAAACUCUUUAAUAUUGAAUUAGAACUCUUCUAAUCUAUGAAAUAAUUUAUUUUAAAUUAUUUUUACUUCUCACUGUCCGUGAGUGACACCUAGCAGUAUAUCACGGUAAUCCAGAAUGAUGAUGAAAAAUGAACCUUUCUGCUAUCAGUUAUCGUGUGAUUAAUUCCUUCCAACACACAACGUCCCGAUCAAACUAAAAUUAUGAUUACUCGCCAAAUCUUAUUAUUCGAUCAUAUGACUAGAAUAUCUAAAACUGACUCAAUAUGGUAACACAGCUGGAAACUCUUUCCACACACCACAUACCCUGGCCAAGGAUUUUCCGAGUCAAGUUCGACAGUCUACAUAGGACAUUCUCUCUCACUAUUGAGAGUGUUGGAUUCCUUAUUGCGCAUUCACAUGCCUCCCCAUAUAAACUACUACAGCCAAUCAGUACCAGACAUAGACCAAUGAUUAGAGUCUAAGUAUUAGUACAGUUAAACAGUAGCAAUCUACAUGUGAAGCAACCAUGAUGCCUCAGGUCUAAGGAGUACUUCACACAACUGUAGCAAAGAACUAGUCACUGGCGAAUUCGGAACCAUGUGACUGUUCAACUAAAUGGUCACGCUCAGUGUACUUGUUCGCUAACAAGCACCUGCAUGCUUACUUUAGUGUCCCUACACUAAUGACUUGAGAUUCGUCACCUCAACUUAGAAGUAUAGCAUACACCGGCCUAUCCAGAAAUAUCAUCGUCCUUAUGAUAUUCCUAUGGCUAGGAGCAUUUAAGAAUCUUGUACAAAGAAAUAUAUAUCUCAAAUUCCUAACUCUUAGGAAUAUAUUUUCUUAACGAAGAUUCAAUGGACGAUUCAUAUAUAUGUAUUGUACUGCUAACAAUAAAUAUGAAUAAAACUUGCCCUUUAUUAAUUAAGAAAAAUACUUAAUAUAUUCACAAGCCUGUGUCAC
rnacentral:lncRNA from 1 species